rnacentral:rRNA from 1 species
GGAGUUAGCCGGUGCUUCUUCUGUGAGUGAUGUCCUUCCUGCCGGUUAUUGACCCGCAGGCCUUCUUCCUCACUGAAAGUGCUUUACAACCCGAAGGCCUUCUUCACACACGCGGCAUGGCUGGAUCAGGGUUGCCCCCAUUGUCCAAUAUUCCCCACUGCUGCCUCCCGUAGGAGUCUGGGCCGUGUCUCAGUCCCAGUGUGGCUGAUCAUCCUCUCAGACCAGCUACGGAUCGUCGCCUUGGUGAGCCGUUACCUCACCAACCCAGCUAAUCCGACAUAGGCUCAUCCGAUAGCGCGAGGCCCGAAGGUCCCCCGCUUUCCCCCGUAGGGCGUAUGCGGUAUUAGCCUGGGUUUCCCCAGGUUAUCCCCCACUACCGGGCAGAUUCCUAUGCAUUACUCACCCGUCCGCCGCUCGCCACCAGGGAGCAAGCUCCCCGUGCUGCCGCUCGACUUGCAUGUGUUAGGCCUGCCGCCAGCGUUCAAUCUGAACCAAGAUCAAAUUCUGA